UCUUUGAUUACUCAAGACAGGUGGGUCAGGCACCUUUCUGCAAUGCUAUAGGUACACCUGAGCUUGAUUUGGGGCUAAAGAAUGGGUUAAGUGACUUCUCACGGUCUAUUAAACUUCUCUUUUUCUGCAGUUCUUUGAUGGUGAGGAGGGAUUAUGCUUUCUUGGUCUCUCUGCUAGAGGCUAUUGCUCAUUCUAGUAUCAAAUAAUUUUGCUGAGUUUUUGUCUGUGAGGGGCUGUGCGUCUGUAGCUCUCUUCUGCACAGAGAUGGGCACACAGCGACCCUGUUUUAAAUCACCCUCCAGCGCUGUAUGAAACAACUCUAAGCACCAGCUGGAAAUAGUCAGCUCACUUACAGACUCAACCUGCGUUAUCACCAGUGAUGCUGUAUUGGGGGACCAAAGGCACUGAAAUGUCUCUGAAAUGCUACAGCUGCUCUGCUCAAGGGGGAGUCCCAAUUGAUGAGGGAUGUCCCCGGUGCCAAACCAUGGUGCAGUACGGACACCUUGGGCAGCAGUAGAUGUGGUCACAUUCUGGGGCUCGGCAGGUUUUAAACUUCUUCCCAGCCUUGUAGAGCAGCUUGGGGGUCCCAGAGCCUCCCCUGCACAGAAAGGGAUCCACCUUCAGACCAUGGAUUUAGAUGGGAGUGUUAAGCGAACGGCCCGGUGACUUUUACGUCUGGGUACUCUAUGGAGGGUAAUGACUUGAUAAUAAGGACGUAGGCUGCUGAAAAUAGCAAGAGCACUAAAUGUAUGACCUCUCAAACAGUGAGUUUGUGGUAUGUUGGUUUAGAUGUGCUUGGGUUGCUGGAAGCCACGGGUUCUCUACCUUGCAAUAAAAUGGAGCAAUAGUGAGUUUGGCUUUAGAUCUCGAUCUGAAUGCCCCUACAGCUACAUAGUGUUCGGGGACUUUCAUAUCAAUAAAAAUCACUGGGUUCCUUCAGUCCCAAAUCAUGAUGGGGCAACUGAAAGGUGAUUUUUUUUUUUCUUUUUUAAACCAUAUUGCUUAUGAAAUUUUAAAUGCUUCACAUUGCAGAAUGAAUUUCUUUGCUUACUUGCUGUGAUUACACAAAGCUCUGCAGGAAGAUGUGCUGUAACUACAAUGUCAUUAAAAACAUUUUCUGUUGGUGGGUUUGUUCUUUCCUUCACGAGAAUAUCUAAUUCUCACUGAUGCUAAUGGGAAUUGUAUUUCUUUGGAGGACAUGCAGAUUAACACUGAGAUGAUUCCCUGGCCUGGGCAAACUCAGUAAAACAAUAAGAAAAGGAAUUUUCGGUAAAUAAGCAUCUGCCUCACAGUAAGUUCUGUGAAAACUCAUCGUCUCAUAUAUCCAGCUCUUUCUUGUAGUUCAGAUCAUACCAUGAAAGCAAGUUAAAUUACCCAACAGGGAAUGUGUUUCACAGAUAAGUUCUGCAAGACAGCAGAGCAUACACCAG